GCCCCUAUACCUCAGUUGGUUAGAGCAUGGUGCUGACAACACCAGGGUUGCAGGUUCAAUCCUUGUAUGGGGCA
rnacentral:tRNA from 1 species